CAAGGUUAGCCUACUAUAGCUGAAAUCCUAAAUUGCCAUCCAACACUAUGAUUAAACAACGCCGUGCAUGAGCUGUUUGUGUCCGAUACCUCCAGAUGCUUUUGUAGAUUAUUAAACUAACAAGCUCCUGGACGACAUUGGUAUUGUGCUUGUUGCAAUACAUUUGCUGACGUUUCACGGGAUUAUAGGUUGAAUUACAAUCUCUGGAUGGACGGAAACGACUAUAUGCCGUGUCGUGUGGAUUAAUGAGAGAGAGACACGCGUGGGAAUCGAGACACCUGCUACCUGUAACUUUUCUCUCUCGAAAGCUCUUCAUUGCGCUUACGUUCGCUGGUUGACACGGUCUUUUUCUAUUUAACGCUUAACUGGUUUGUUUGGUAUAGGCUAAUGGACAUGAUAGCUGUAGAUAAAGUUCACCAGCAUCACAAUCCAACAGAUUCUCGCUGGGAAUUCGUCGCUGGACUGUAGACGUCGAUCGGGAGAUAUUUUGGAGGAGCGCGGUUGUUUAUCAUCACAAACGGGAUUUAUUCGUGGAAACUACGAUGUCCGUUAUACGCUCUUGGAUGGAAACUCUGUUGCUGUGUAUGUUCAUUUCAGAUGGUAAGUCUUUUUCAGCUUUUUAAUAUGGAAACAGGCAUUUUUGUUGGCAGCAUCACAAUAAUGGUCUUUUAGAGAAACUAUAUACAGUAUAGUUCAACCUUCACAUGAAGGGAGCUCUGCAGCUAUCGCUCAUGCACAGGCAAUGUGUAAACUACCAGUCAAUGAUGGCAUUAAAACAUGUUGUUUUCCUGCACUGAAUUUCAUAACAUAAAAGGCAUUUAAUGGGACAGUCUUGAUUAAUAAACGUUUGAAGCUAUGAAAAAGGGUCA
ensembl:lncRNA